rnacentral:misc_RNA from 1 species
GGGGAUCGAGCGUAGGGAUCCUAGCGAGCCAACCUCCCACCCGUGUUUACUGUACCUUAGUUGCUUCGGCGGGCCCGCCAUUCAUGGCCGCCGGGGGCUCUCAGCCCCGGGCCCGCGCCCGCCGGAGACACCACGAACUCUGUCUGAUCUAGUGAAGUCUGAGUUGAUUGUAUCGCAAUCAGUUAAAACUUUCAACAAUGGAUCUCUUGGUUCCGGCAUCGAUGAAGAACGCAGCGAAAUGCGAUAACUAGUGUGAAUUGCAGAAUUCCGUGAAUCAUCUAGUCAUUGAACGCACAUGCCCGCCCCUUGGCAGAGCGUGGUGCCUGCCGGGGCGUGCCACCUUCGAGCCCCCGGGCCUCCCGUGGGGACCAGCCGGGGCCGCACGGCCGGAAAAGCAGUAGCGGGAACGCUGCCGCGCCGAACGGAGUAGUCACCUCUCGCACGGGUCGCGCCCCAGGUUCCCCUCCGAAAAGCGCUUGCCGGACGCAAAUCAAUCUUUCUCCAGGUUGACCUCCUAUCUUGUAUGGAUACCCUCUGAACUUAA